UUUAUUGACUGCAGGGCACAAGUGGCAAUUGCAGGGAUGUAACCCAGUGGUAUCAGUCACAGAAAAAAAAAGCUGUAGGUGUUCUAUAUGCUUUCCUGAGUAAAACUGAGUGAAAUCUUCUAAUCUGUUGUCUUACAUAGGCUUUGGUUUUAUUGCGGAAACUGGAUAGCACUACCACUUGCUCCGACUGUAAUGGCCUACUUUUUUCUGUGCCGACUGUGACUGUAAGUCUUCCAUGGUCAUAAGCAUAAAUCUCCUUAGUCAUACGUAGUCAUAAGACACUGUCAUAUAUACCCCAUAGGACCCCAUGUAAAUAUUUGGAGCGAAUCGUGUCACUCGUUACAGACACACAGAUUGCGAACAGUAGCCCUAGAAUGCUGACGCAUUAAAAGUCCCUAGACUGCUACCACUUUGCCAAAGGUGUGCCAAUAAGUGCAUCGGCGCUUCAGCUAGCAGUUUUACAAAAGCCUUCUUCGCGAAGUUCGGCAAGAUACGAACUGCAACACGGAUCACCUUUGGCACAUUUCGGGAUAUCUGCACUAAGUAGAUAUGACUGUGUUGUUAGCUGGCAAUCCGGUUUGACUUCAGCAAUUGCGGCAUGUGCUCUAGGCUCCUAAUUAAAGUUGAAUUAAGGAAACAUUGUUCACUACCAAAGUAAUAAUCAUGAUUUGUUGUGUAUGUAAUGCCCGCCAUUUCACCAAAUCAACGGCGACAGGCGGAAUUACGCUGUCACAGUCAGUAUAAGAAAUGAGUUCCAUGUAAAAAAAAAAAAAAAUCUGGUACACUGGUAUAUUAUGGCUUUAGCUGUAAUACCUGGAGCACUCAGUGCUAUUGCAAUUUCUGAGAGUCAGUGUAAUAUGGGCAAGUGCACAUGAUGCUGCCGUAUAAUUGUCUGUUACAGGUGUUUGGAUCGAGAUGAACUACACAUUAAUUUAUGCAAAUUAUGAAGGGUGCUUACUGCUUCGCAUUCCCGCCAUGAUUCAAGGAAGCGGGUGCAUGGUUCUUCUCACGGGUGCUGCUGUAAGACGUGGUCUUCGGGGCGAUUGCAAAAUCACGUAUGAGAAGGCCUGCGGCAAGCAACACAAGUUCUACCCGAUAUAUGACAAGUCGUGCAGAAAAAAGCCAAGUCAUAGCUAAACGCCUUGCUGCUACAUAGAAUAAACGUAACAUCUGUAAUGUGGAA